rnacentral:sRNA from 1 species
CUCACAGGACAGGGCUCCAAGUGGGUGGCCCAGAACCCUGCAGAGAAAAAGCCUGUCCUCCUCAGGGCCUCUGUGUCCACCAGAGCAUCUCUGCAUAGUCUCCCAAUUUGGGGGGCCACGCCCCUCUCUGGGGUGGGAGGGGAGGCGGUCAAAGCAGGCAAACCUCAGAGCUGCUCUGUUGCCCUCAGGGUGGAGGAGGUGAACUGGGCUUCAUGGGAGCAGACGCUGCCUACGCUGUGUGAGGACCCGUCAGGGGCAGGUGUCCCUCGAACUCUCGAGAACCCUGUCCUGGCUUCCCCUCCCAAGGAGGAUGAGGAUGGUGCCUCUGAGGAAAACUAUGUGCCCGUCCAGCUCCUCCAGUCCAGCUGAUGGCCCAGAUGCAGCAGGAGGCCAGAGGACAGAGCAGAGGAUCUUUCCAACCACAUCUGCUGGCUCUGGGGUCCCAGUGAAUUCUGGUGGCAAAUAUAUAUUUUCACUAA